UACGAAGGGGGCUAGCGUUGCUCGGAAUCACUGGGCGUAAAGGGUGCGUAGGCGGGUCUUAAGUCAGGGGUGAAAUCCUGGAGCUCAACUCCAGAACUGCCUUUGAUACUGAGGAUCUUGAGUUCGGGAGAGGUGAGUGGAACUGCGAGUGUAGAGGUGAAAUUCGUAGAUAUUCGCAAGAACACCAGUGGCGAAGGCGGCUCACUGGCCCGGUACUGACGCUGAGGUGCGAAAGCGUGGGGAGCAAACAGGG
rnacentral:rRNA from 1 species